AGCGAACGCUGGCGGCAGGCCUAACACAUGCAAGUCGAACGAACUCUUCGGAGUUAGUGGCGGACGGGUGAGUAACACGUGGGAACGUGCCUUUUGGUUCGGAAUAACUCAGGGAAACUUGUGCUAUACCGAAUGUGCCCUUCGGGGGAAAGAUUUAUCGCCAUUAGAGCGGCCCGCGUCUGAUUAGCUAGUUGGUGAGGUAACGGCUCACCAAGGCGACGAUCAGUAGCUGGUCUGAGAGGAUGACCAGCCACACUGGGACUGAGACACGGCCCAGACUCCUACGGGAAGCAGCAGUGGGGAAUCUUGCGCAAUGGGCGAAAGCCUGACGCAGCCAUGCCGCGUGAAUGAUGAAGGUCUUAGGAUUGUAAAAUUCUUUCACCGGGGACGAUAAUGACGGUACCCGGAGAAGAAGCCCCGGCUAACUUCGUG
rnacentral:rRNA from 1 species